ACCUGGGCAGCCAUCUCACGGGCGGUGAGGCCACCACAAAUCUGAAUCAGGCGGUCAGAGAGCGUAGAUUUACCAUGGUCGAUGUGGGCGAUGAUGGAGAAAUUUCUUAUGUGCUUCAUUUAUAUGAAUAUCUUCGCAUAGAGAAUCAGUUGAAAACCUGAGCACAGACACAUUCAGGAAGAUCGCUCUUUACCCACAAUCCUGUCAGCCUCAUUAAUGACGACGCAUAUUACACUGUUAACGCCGCGCAUAAAAGAAUGGAACGUUGUGGAAGCGAAACAGAGUUUUGCGUAAGGGAGAACAGACAAAGGCCGCGGAGUGCGCGGCCUGGAGAUGCGUUACGCUUCGCUUUCAACGCGCAGCGCAUCAGGAGGUAAUGCGAUGUUCAGGAUCACCGGUUGAAAGGCGUCGCGAUCGCCCAGUUUCAUCGAGACGCCUUUGGCGAUAAUAAAGCCGCCAAUCCCGCCCAGCAGCGCACCGCUGGCGGCCGCCAGAUCGCUGCUGAACAGCGCCUGAAACAGCCCUGCCACCACAAACAAACCCAACAGCGGCGUCAUAUAGACCAGCAACGCCGAGCCCAGCAGGCUGCUCUCGCGGAUACCCAGUUCGAUACGCUGACCCGGCUGCAGCGGUUUGCUGCUGGCGAUCUGCAUUACGUGGGCAUUUUUCGGGCCGAGUUUGUUCAGCAUGUGGCUGCCGCAACCUUUACGCGCCUGGCAGCUGUUGCAGGAGGUUUUCGCUUCAGUAUGCAGAGUGGCGAUGCCAUCCUGCCAUGCCACCACGGUGGCCCAUUCUCUCAUCAUUUUUGUGACCCCAGGUCGAUGCUGUCCGCAAUGCGU
rnacentral:ncRNA from 1 species